rnacentral:rRNA from 1 species
AACGAACGCUGGCGGCAGGCUUAACACAUGCAAGUCGAGCGCCCCGCAAGGGGAGCGGCAGACGGGUGAGUAACGCGUGGGAAUCUACCCAUCUCUACGGAAUAACGCAUGGAAACGUGUGCUAAUACCGUAUACGUCCUUCGGGAGAAAGAUUUAUCGGAGAUGGAUGAGCCCGCGUUGGAUUAGCUAGUUGGUGGGGUAAAGGCCUACCAAGGCGACGAUCCAUAGCUGGUCUGAGAGGAUGAUUAGCCACACUGGGAUUGAGACACGGCCCAGACUCCUACGGGAGGCAGCAGUGGGGAAUAUUGGACAAUGGGCGCAAGCCUGAUCCAGCCAUGCCGCGUGAGUGAUGAAGGCCCUAGGGUUGUAAAGCUCUUUCACCGGUGAAGAUAAUGACGGUAACCGGAGAAGAAGCCCCGGCUAACUUCGUGCCAGCAGCCGCCGUAAAAC